AUUGAACGCUGGCGGCAGGCCUAACACAUGCAAGUCGAGCGGCAGCACGGGUACUUGUACCUGGUGGCGAGCGGCGGACGGGUGAGUAAUGCCUAGGAAUCUGCCUGGUAGUGGGGGAUAACGCUCGGAAACGGACGCUAAUACCGCAUACGUCCUACGGGAGAAAGCAGGGGACCUUCGGGCCUUGCGCUAUCAGAUGAGCCUAGGUCGGAUUAGCUAGUUGGUGAGGUAAUGGCUCACCAAGGCGACGAUCCGUAACUGGUCUGAGAGGAUGAUCAGUCACACUGGAACUGAGACACGGUCCAGACUCCUACGGGAGGCAGCAGUGGGGAAUAUUGGACAAUGGGCGAAAGCCUGAUCCAGCCAUGCCGCGUGUGUGAAGAAGGUCUUCGGAUUGUAAAGCACUUUAAGUUGGGAGGAAGGGCAUUUACCUAAUACGUAAGUGUUUUGACGUUACCGACAGAAUAAGCACCGGCU
rnacentral:rRNA from 1 species